GAUGAACGCUAGCGGCAGGCCUAACACAUGCAAGUCGAGGGGUCGGAAGAGCUUGCUUUUCUGAGACCGGUGCACGGUUGCGUAACGCGUAUACAAUCUACCUUGUACAGGGGGAUAGCCCAGAGAAAUUUGGAUGACUCCCUCAUAGUGUUAGUGAGUGUCAUAACAUGAUAAUUACAGUUCCAACGGUACAAGCGGGGUAGUCGUCCCAUUAGUUAGAUGGUAAGGUAACGGCUUACCAUGACAGUGAUGGGUAGGGGUCGUGGGAGGGAGAUCCCCCACAAUGGUACUGAGACACGGACCAGACGCCUACGGGAGGCAGCAGUGAGGAAUAUUGGACAAUGGGGGCAACCCUGAUCCAGCCAGGCCGCGUGCAGGAUGACGGUCCUACGGAUUGUAAACUGCUUUUAUACAGGAAGAACCCCUUCUUUGCGAAGAAGACUGACGGUACUGUAAGAAUAAGGAUCGGCUAACUCCGUGCCAGCAGCCGCUGUAAUAC
rnacentral:rRNA from 1 species